rnacentral:rRNA from 1 species
GAUGAACGCUGGCGGCGUGCUUAACACAUGCAAGUCGAACGGAAAGGCUCCUGCUUGCAGGGGUACUCGAGUGGCGAACGGGUGAGUAACACGUGGGUGAUCUGCCCUGCACUUCGGGAUAAGCCUGGGAAACUGGGUCUAAUACCGGAUAGGACGUUGGUUUGGAUGCCAUUGUGGAAAGUUGUUCGGUGUGGGAUGGGCUCGCGGCCUAUCGGCUUGUUGGUGGGGUAAUUGCCUACCAAGGCGUCGACGGGUAGCCGGCCUGAGAGCGUGUACGGCCUCAUUAGGACUGAGAGACGGAGCAGAAGGCUACGGGAGGCAGCAGUGGAGAAUAUUGCACAAUAAGGGCGAGCCAGAUACAGCGACGCCGCGUGGGGGAUGACGGCCUUCGGGUUGUAAACACCUUUCGCUGGGGACGAAGCGCAAGUGACGGUACCUGGAGAAGAAGCACCGGCUAACUACGUG